rnacentral:ncRNA from 1 species
GUGAGCCGUAUGAUGGGCAACUAUCUCCUGCGGCUCGGAGAGGACUCAACUGUUACUUUGUACCCUCUUGGUUUUGGGUUAGACCUUUUCACUCUAU